GUUUCCAAUAUAAUACUCUAUUCUGUAGGUCAGAUUUUUAAAGAGUCUAUUAACAUUGCUUUGCUAUGAUUGACUUGGUGCUUUCCAGUAUUUUUUUAUUGUAAGAUGUGCAUGUGAAGUUACUUGCAGAACACUGAAUUAAGAGAGAUUAAUUGAUACAAGCUAAGUUCCUAUUCCUUCCACGAUGUUUUGUUCCAUGUAUAAGAAAGAAUACUAAUGCCUGGCUUGUAGCAUGCUGAAAAAAGACUCUGUGGAGGACUAAGACAUUUACAAAUCACUUACAGAGAGAAGCUGAGCACAGAGGAAAAAAAAUCCAGUUGUCUCUUUCCAGAAAAUACUUUGGAGGAUGACUGCAUUUCAAAGGAAGCGAUUGCCUUGAGCACAGACUUGCCAGACCUGUCUGGUCCCAUCCUCUCCUGGGAAUGCUGCUCAGAGGACGUGCACAGCCUGGGCUUCCUGGAUACCUGCAGCCUGCUUUGCAUGCAGAAACAAAGGCAAAAACCUGGACCACUUCACUCACCACACAAAUCUCUACCAAAAUUUUAACUGCAGAAUGAAAUGGGCACGAGCUGCGUUAAUCUGGCAUUCAGUCAUAGGGGAAUGGCAAUAAAUACAGCUGCAAAACCUUCAA